UCGUAGCGACUGCGGAGACAUUAAAGAUUUGGGCUCUGCCCCUACCUCUCUUCAGCUGUGCGCUUUGGCUGCACGCUGUUGAACACUUCACACCUGUGCACCUUUUCGGUUGCGGCCCUCGCGGGCUGCUUCCGCUUUCACAUGCAACUACUUCUGUCCAGAAUGUGCUAUACUAUAAAGUAACAACUUUCAACAACGGAUCUCUUGGCUCUCGCAUCGAUGAAGAACGCAGCGAAAUGCGAUAAGUAAUGUGAAUUGCAGAAUUCAGUGAAUCAUCGAAUCUUUGAACGCAUCUUGCGCUCCUUGGUAUUCCAUGGAGCAUGCCUGUUUGAGUGUCACGUAAACCUUCACCCUUGCGAUGUUACAGUCGCCCGUGGUGGAUUUGGACCGUGCCGUAGUUGGCUCGUCCUGAAAUGCAUUAGCUGGCGCUUUUAGAGUGCUGGGCGACGGUGUGAUAAUUAUCUGCGCCAAUGCCCUGGGCCUCUUCAGCGGUGCCGCUUACAGUCGUCCGUACGGACAACUUACUCAAAGCUUUGGCCUCAAAUCAGGUAGGACUACCCGCUGAACUUAAGCAUACAA
rnacentral:rRNA from 1 species